rnacentral:rRNA from 1 species
GGGAUUGCCUCAGUAACGGCGAGUGAAGCGGCAACAGCUCAAAUUUGAAAUCUGGCCCCCUCGGGGGGCCCGAGUUGUAAUUUGCAGAUUGUGCUUUUGGCGAGGCGCCUUCCGAGUUCCCUGGAACGGGACGCCACAGAGGGUGAGAGCCCCGUCUGGUCGGCCGCCGAGCCUCUGUAAAGCACCUUCGACGAGUCGAGUAGUUUGGGAAUGCUGCUCAAAAUGGGAGGUAUAUGUCUUCUAAAGCUAAAUACCGGCCAGAGACCGAUAGCGCACAAGUAGAGUGAUCGAAAGAUGAAAAGCACCUUGAAAAGGGGGUUAAACAGUAUGUGAAAUUGUUGAAAGGGAAGCGCUCGCGACCAGACUUGGGCCCGGCGGAUCACCCAGCGUUCUCGCUGGGGCACUCCGCCUCGUCCCAGGCCAGCAUCGGUUCGUGCCGGGGGACAAAGGCGGCGGGAACGUGGCUCCCCCGGGAGUGUUAUAGCCCGCCGCGCAAUGCCCUGGGGCGGACCGAGGAUUCGCGCAUCUGCAUGGAUGCUGGCGUAAUGGUCACCAGCGACCCGUCUUGAAACACGGACCAAGGAGUCGUCUUCGUAUGCGAGUGUUCGGGUGUCAAACCCCUACGCGUAAUGAAAGUGAACGCAGGUGAGAGCUUCGGCGCAUCAUCGACCGAUCCUGAUGUUCUCGGAUGGAUUUGAGUAGGAGCAUACGGGGCCGGACCCGAAAGAAGGUGAACUAUGCCUGUGUAGGGUGAAGCCAGAGGAAACUCUGGUGGAGGCUCGCAGCGGUUCUGACGUGCAAAUCGAUCGUCAAACAUGGGCAUGGGGGCGAAAGACUA